UAUCUCUCCCAGUUACUAAUCAAAUAACCUUCAACUACAAAACAAUUUAAACUCUGUUGUCUCUAUUUAUACUCUUAGUUGUUUUGAGUUUUACGAGACUUUACUCGAUAAAAUUUAUAGACUUGUCCUAUAGUUUUUGUGGGGUCAAAAGAAUGCAGUAGUAAUUGAAAGAUAAUCAGCAGACCAAAAAUUUAAGGUAAAUUAAAUUUUGAUUUAAAAGUAUUUAAUUUAACCCUCUUUAAAAAAUAGAACUAGAGAUUGUAAAUUAAGUAGCACUCACUUUUUUUGAAGUAUAUCAAAGUAAGUAUUUUAGGUAUUGUACAUUCUUAAAGGCUGACAUUGGAAUAGGAGAUUGGAGGAGUUUGUUAGAAGAUUCUAGACUCUAUCUCGGAUGAAGAAGACAUACUUACCAGAAACGGAACUUUCCUCAUCUGGGAAUACAGAAAGUUCAGCUGUCAUUCAAGAAGUUAAAGAGCUGGUUCCAGCCCUUCCAGAUAGGUAUUUUUUUCGUCCCUCGUCUAUGAUGUAUUGAUGGCAUUACUUUUAAGUGUUGUCAACAUACAAUGUGAUUUUAUUCACCUAGACGAUCCUCUUCUUGGAAACUUCUAACAAGCCGAAUUUGUGUAUUUCUUGUUAACUAAUGUUAUGUGAACUGCAUUACUAUGGAAAAACGGAAGAUAUUGAUGAGCUGCUGUUUCAGACUAAAAAGCUUCUGCUCAACAAAAGCAUUCUGAAAUGAUUUCUCAUUUGAAUCAAGCUACUCAAUAAGAGUUUGUCUAGUGUUUUCUACAUAUGGCCCUGCAAUUAACUGCAAGCAGCAUAUUUUUCCUCUGCGUGACAAUUAAUCAAUAAAUUUUCUGUUUUGGAAUUGGGCUUGGAAUGCCACUGAGAAGAGAAGUAAUGUGCGAACACCUUCCCCUUUGAGUAGUCUUUAUUUUGUUCAUCCACCGUUAAUUU